AGUUGUCAUGAUGAUUGGCUUUAUGUUCAACUGCUCUGAAGUGUGAUUGAGAGAUGCCCGUCUGAACAGCA